AUAUGGUCUUACAUUUAGGUCUUUAAUCAAUUUUUGGUUUAUUUUUUUAUAAGGUGUUAUAAAAUGUUAGUAUUAAAAAUGUGAACCAAGAUAGUAAUGAAAAGACCUGCAAAAAAGGGGCACAUUCUAUUUUCCAAAAAUAGCCAUAACAAUAUUUCCCAUCCCACAUGUUCUUCCAGUAACUUAUCAUUCCCCUUUAAGAGGCAGAAUCUGUGACUCCUUCCCAUAAACCUGGCAGGGCUUUGUAACUGCCUCAACUAACAGAAUAUGACAAAAGUGACAUUAUGUGACUUCCAAGGUUAGGUCACAAAAAGUGGUAUUGCUGCUAUCUGGUUCUCCCUCUCUCUGGAUACUUGUUCUUAGAAGCCAGCUGUUGUACUACAAGAAAGACGAGGCAACACAGAGAGGUCUGUGUGAACAGAAACUGAGGCCCCUAGCCAUUGGCCCCAGCUGAGCUUCUUGCCAACAUCAAGCAGCAACAAAUGGCCAUAUGGAAGUAGAUCUUUCAGCUCUCAUUUGAGCUACCCAGAUGAAACCACAUGGAGCAAAGACAAGCCUUCCAAACUGAGCUUUGCCCCAAUUGCAAAUUUGAGGGCAAAAUAAAUUAUUGGUAUUGUUUUAGUUAACUGUUGGGGUGACUUGCUAUGCAGCAAUAGAUUGUUGUUGUUUUGUUGCUAAGUUGUAUCUAACUCUUUGCCACCCCAUGAACUGUAUAGCCCACCAGACUCCUCUGUCUAUGGGAUUUUUCAGGCAAGAAUACUGGAUAACGUUGCCAUUUCCUUCUCCAGGGGAUCUUCCUGACCCAAGGAUUGAAACCACAUCUCCUGGAAUAGCAGGCGGGUUCUUUACCACUGAGCCAUCAGGGAAAUGCAGCAGUGGAUCACCAGGACAAAAAGGGCCAGUGGAAGAAAGAAUUAUUGGUGUAGCAACCAAUAGGCAUACUGAUGAAUUCUGGUCAGAAGAUUACAAAGAAGAACAGAAGAGGAAAAGAUAUAGUCAAAGGAUCAGCAGUGGAGACAUUGGAAAAAGCAGGACCUCACACUGGAAAGUCUCAAAAGGAAGUGAAAGCAGGAGCCAAACUGCUGGGCCCAGAGUGGGUGGAAUGAAAAAGAUAGAUGGUUGUAGAAGAGAUAACUAA
ensembl:lncRNA